rnacentral:rRNA from 1 species
AUAGCCUACGGGGGGCAGCAGUGAGGAAUAUUGGUCAAUGGCCGGAAGGCUGAACCAGCCAAGCCGCGUCAAGGACGAAGGUGCCAAGCAUUGUAAACUUCUUUUGUCAAGGGACAAAAUCAGGCUCGAGAGCCUGACCGAGGGUACUUGAAGAAAAAGCAUCGGCUAACUCCGUGCCAGCAGCCGCGGUAAUACGGAGGAUGCGAGCGUUAUCCGGAUUUAUUGGGUUUAAAGGGUGCGUAGGCGGUUUUUUAAGUUAGUGGUUGAAAGUUGGGGCUUGCCC